AUCACCUCGCACCUUCUGGAUCCUUCCAAUCCACCUGUCAAAUACCCUUCGUCUCCACCCGCAGUUUCACGUUCAACUGCGUGAAUCUUCCGUCCAAUUUCUCUGCACGCUCUCUCAUUAGAUUGAAACGGAUAUGAAGUUAGAAUCGGUUAGGUAUGGUAUGGUAUGUAGAUGGUUGUUAGAUCUUAACUUGAAGAUUACGCGGAAACCAGAGGGAUCGUGAUAGAGAAAGGGCUCAGGCAAGGGCCGGCGGGAAGCCGAAGCAAUCGAAAACCGAUGGAUUAACUCCUGAACAAAGACGAGAAAGGGAUGCGAAGGCAUUACAAGAGAAGUUAGCAAGGAAGGCGGCUAAAGAGUCAGCUGGAGCAAAUGGUGGGAAAAAUGGGAUGAAAACCAACAAAUAGAUGGUGUGGGUGUGUGUAUAUACAUUGAUGAUGGGAUAGGAAAGAGACAGAUUUGAGUGGGUUAUGUGAGUCGAUUGUUGUAUGAUAGGUUGGUGGUAAGGGGAUUGUUAAAGUCGUUGACUAUUUAUGAUCGCUUUGAGUUUUCAUGAGUUCUUGAUUGUGGCAUCCAUUUAUCUGUAUUCAUUUUUCUCUGUUUAUGACGUGUUAUUUUGACUUCACUUC